rnacentral:lncRNA from 1 species
AGCAUUUAAGGGAAAGUCUCUCCUAUGAGACAAUUGUCGUCCUGAUAAUACAGGAAGAAGAAAAAAGACAUCCGCCAGUUUGUCCUGCAGAAGUCCCGUUCAACGGAUUUUGCUCUUGUGGUUUAUUGGCUUAAGAAAAUAUUGCUGAUCUUUGGCAGCAGAGAUUUACUUCAUGAGUGUAUGUACCACGGAAGACACCAGUUUCACUCUAGGAGAAAUGAUACUUUGAAGUCAUCGGCGAAGGUAAGAAUAUCUACUAAUGAACUAAAGAGCGGCA